GGACCUGAUAUCAGGCAAGAUUACCCGCUGAACUUAAGCAUAUUAAUAAGCGGAGGAAAAGAAACUAACAAGGAUUCCCCUAGUAACGGCGAGUGAAGCGGGAAGAGCUCAAGCUUAAAAUCUCCGUGCAAGUUUUGCGCGGCGAAUUGUAGUCUAUAGAGGCGUGAUCAGUGUGGGCGCUUGGGGCAAGUUCCUUGGAAGAGGACAGCAUGGAGGGUGAUACUCCCGUUCAUCCCUGAGUUGCUCGUGCGUACGAUCCGUUUUCUUUGAGUCGCGUUGUUUGGGAAUGCAGCGCAAAGUAGGUGGUAAAUUCCAUCUAAAGCUAAAUAUUGGUGCGAGACCGAUAGCGAACAAGUACCGUGAGGGAAAGAUGAAAAGAACUUUGAAAAAGAGAGUUAAAGAGUACGUGAAACUGCUGAAAGGGGAACCGAAUCGUUUCCAGUGUCUAUAAUCCCGUGGUAUAUUUCAUUGGCGAGUGUGUGCGUGCGUGUGCUGUGGCAGCGGCUUUUUUUGGCUGCGCUCGGCGUGGGUGCUGUGUGUGCUUUGCUGGGUGCCCUGUGCUGCGGUGGGGACGUCAAGUUCAGGUCCGUAUGCUGCCGGAAAAUGGCCGCCGAAGAAGUAAGACUAACGCUUUGCGUUUGGACUGUUAU
rnacentral:ncRNA from 1 species